rnacentral:rRNA from 1 species
CCUACGGGAGGCAGCAGUGGGGAAUAUUGGACAAUGGGCGAAAGCCUGAUCCAGCAAUGCCGCGUGAGUGAUGAAGGCCUUAGGGUUGUAAAGCUCUUUUACCAGGGAUGAUAAUGACAGUACCUGGAGAAUAAGCUCCGGCUAACUCCGUGCCAGCAGCCGCGGUAAUACGGAGGGAGCUAGCGUUGUUCGGAAUUACUGGGCGUAAAGCGUACGUAGGCGGUUAUUCAAGUCAGAGGUGAAAGCCUGGAGCUCAACUCCAGAACUGCCUUUGAAACUAGAUAGCUAGAAUCUUGGAGAGGUGAGUGGAAUUCCGAGUGUAGAGGUGAAAUUCGUAGAUAUUCGGAAGAACACCAGUGGCGAAGGCGACUCACUGGACAAGUAUUGACGCUGAGGUACGAAAGCGUGGGGAGCAAACAGGAUUAGAUACCCUGGUAGUCCACGCCGUAAACGAUGAUAACUAGCUGUUCGGGCUCUACGAGCUUGAGUGGCGCAGCUACGACAUUAAGUUAUUCCGUCCGUCGGGAGGUACGGUCGCGAGAAUAAACUAACAAAGAAGUUAGUACGGCGUGAGACGUGCCGACGGACGACGACGAGGGAGGUUAGG